CCCUUAGAUGUUCUGGGCUGCACCCGUGCUACACUGGCAGGUUCAGCGAGCUUCAUGCCCUGAUCUGAAAGGGAUGGGAAAUCUUUUCAAAACCUGCCGUGCUUGGGAUAGAUGUUUGCAAUUAUUCAUCUUCAACGAGGAUUGCCUUGUAAGCGCACGUCAUCAGCGUGCAUUGAAUACGACCCUGUAUUCUGUACACACCGCCCGUCGCUCCUACCGAUUGAAGUUUUCGGUGAGUUGACAGGAGGAUUUUUUUGAAACUGGUUCGCCAGUGGAUUUUAGAUCCAAAUGCCAACGAAUCGAUGGCUUUAGAGGAAGGAGAAGUCGUAACA
rnacentral:rRNA from 1 species